rnacentral:lncRNA from 1 species
GCCACAGAGUGGCAUUUAACGCGGACCUCCGCGGGCGCAUCCGCGUGUUGGCUUUUUUUUUCUUGGCCGUGCGUCCGCUUCUUGGAUUUCUCUUAGUCGGCUCGACACCGGUUCCAACCAGUGCCGAAUCGGUAUCGGUGCCCAUCGGUACGUCGGUACGGUAGACCUUGCUUGAGAGGUUUUUUAAAGGUACUUUAAAGAAGCUCCAUUCCAAAAAAAAUGUCCCAUACAGUAUCAUUAAGAAGAUCAAUGCUAGUGCCUAUGCUUAGACCGACCUACGUGGGAACUAAUCCAACUCCCAAUGGUGAAGACCCUUACCUUUUAGCUAGAAGCUUUUAUUGAUUUAUUGGAUAUACAACUUAUUUUUGAUUCUUCUACCUUAUUCACAAUUCCACCACCACCUCCCACUUCCCUAUAAUGACACCACCACCACCAUCAUUUCCUAGAAGGAGAGAGGAAAUUAUGGAUAUUUUAGAUGAUUGGAUAGUUGCCACUCACACCAGCAUGUGUCAGCAGUUUGUUAUAAAAAGGCAGGGUCAACCUAUGGAAGACUGUGUGGGUCACACAGGAGGAGCUUCAGAAUAGUGAUUGCGGAACCGUUCCAAUCCGAAUUGAUGCCAAGUUGGAACGGUUCAGCGGGAUGGGUUGGUUUGCUCCCUGCCCUUGCAUUUUAAAGGUUCGAGAGCUCAAAGGCUCUCUAGUUCACUUUGCCACUAGAUGCUGUUUCUUCGACGAUGCCUCCCUCUCUUGCGAUCUUAUGGCCACCGCUCUUCUCUGAAUUACCUUCUUCCCAAACCUAUUCCUAAUGCUAACCCAAGAUCCACCUCGGUUCCAUUGGAGCCCUUCAAAAACCCCUCCUCUUUCUUCCUCCGCCGCCCCUCCGCCACUUCCACCACCAUUCCUGGCUUGAAUCCCUACACCUUCUCUGCACGAAAGCCCUCAAUAUUUGCAUCUCAUCUGAGGAGCCCUAGCAGGAGGUGGCGAAGAGCUUGCCGGUGCUCCUUGAUAUUGCACUUAUUGGUGAAGAGAAGGAGAUUUCCAUGACUGGAAGGCUCACCGCCUUUACCUCUUGUGGCUUGCCCAAUGUUGCCGGUAAGCCUCCCCCACCCUCUCUCCCCCUUCCUCCCUCCCUUUCUCUCCCUCUUCCUCUCCCUCUCCCUCCUCUCUCUUCCUUUCUCCUCUCCCUCUCCCUAGCUCUUCUCGUGUCGGUACAUCCCAGAACAGAAAUUACAGACUCAUACUGUAAUAGUCGUUGACUGAUACAAGCCUUAUUACUAGUUCAACAGACCUUGCUUUAGAAGAUUAACUUGGAUAUAGCUAUACCGGAGCCUUUAUUUAUCGAAGGUAAAUUUCUUUAAGCCGGAGGGAGUUGACGUGGAUCUAUAAGCCUUCAAAACCUACCAUAAGCACUGACAAAGGGUCGCUAGUCUAUUUGUAGAAGAAAACUAGUUUUUAGAUGAUGUUGACUCUCUAGUUUGUUAAAUUUUUAGUGGUCUCAUCAUCUAUUUUAUUAUUUUGCUUUAGUUGAGCCCCUUUAUGUUAUAGUUUAUAGAAGUAGAGAAUUAAUUUAUUAGGGAUCACUACGUAAAGAAAACAAUUAAGAGGGCCUUUUAAAAAAGCCAUCUAAAUAUAUUUUAAGAGGUCAGACCCUAGUGUUUUGCUUUGUGAUAGUUUACAUACUGAAAUAAAAACUAGGAAAAAUUGUCAGGACACCCCUUAAAUUUAGGGUCAUUUUCAUCUUGUGCCCUUUGAGUUUAAAAUGUUUCAAAUAGAUUCUUAAAGUUAGUUAAGUGGUUCAGUGUGGUUUUGAGCCUGUCAUUAAGAUAACGUCAUAAAGGACACUUUUGCCCUCAUUGUUGCUACAAAAAUUUUUAUUAGAGCAUUUAAAAAAAAUGCUCUAAUAAAAAGAGCAUUGUACUUAUCUCCCCUUGUGAUCUCAUACUUGACCUUCCUCCCUUGUCCUCUUUCGUUCAAGCUGUUACCCUUGCAACCUCUUAUCCUUGAUCUUCCUUCCCUGUCCACCGACUCCGGCUAGUUCUCUGGCCAUCCCUGCCUUUGCUACAAAGGAAGUUGAAGUCUAAGAGUCUGGAAUUCUUCUCUUUUGAAGCAAAGCUCUUCCCUUAAACUUUUCCAUUUUGAAAUGCAUUUCUAUUGUUAUGUUUGUUCAUUGUUCCAUGCAGAGCUUUUUGUAGUGGUUUUGUCUGUCUUCUGGUAAUUAGAGUCUUAAUAUUUUUUGGUUAACAUAUAUCAUGAGUAAAAAUGUUCUGUAGUCAUCUCUUAGGAGAUGUUCGAUUUGAAGAUUAAGUGUAAAGUAGUAAGAUUCUUCAACCUAUUAUUGCAUAUCUAGUUUUCCCCCUCCUAAACACACAAUUUAUACCUCAUUCUGAGCAUGAAUGGCUACUGCAAUGCUAUAUCCAGUAAACAUUAAGUUUUUAUACCUAGAUUUUUUAUUACCGACUCCAUAGAUCAUGGCAUAUUUUAUGUAUGAUGCUUUUAGUCAUGUGUUUAAUAUAUGCAUACAUGCAUGUGUUGUCUUAGAUUACUACGCCCCACUGGCUGUAAAAUGGGCAGGUGGAUGGGUGGGUUAUCGAGUCUUUAAUUGGUUUUACUGAGAUACUAUUGGCUUUCCUGGGACUUACCUUUAUUGGCUCUAUCCAACAUUCUCAUGUUCAUUCCUAUGCCUCACAAUUAUUUGUGUAACCUUUAUUUAACAAACAAAUGCAAGAAGCUUUGCUAGUGUUAGUUUCUUAAGUAGAAGUUGUGGUCCCUUGGGGUUUAAUUAAGUGUGUUUUAUUUCCUUAUGUGUUUAUUUAUGCAUUAAGAAUGAUGUUGUGGUCUCAUUGUAUGAAAUUUGGACAAUUUUUGGGAUGCAUUGUAUUGGAUCUUGUGCACCGUGGGUUUGCUUUGUCACUACAUGCAAGAAUGGAUCUAUUUAUGAUAGAACUGCACCAUGAUGGUUUGAUAAAGCUUCUGUCUCAUAUACAUUAUAGUGGGGGCUUUGUUAGCCGCUUUGACAGCUAUAAUCCUAAUGAGAUGAGCCUUAUCGAAAUAGAGAGUAUGGCCAAAUAGCUAGGUUACAAUAACUGCACCUAGUUCUACUACCUACUCCCCGAGCAGUCCUUUAAGCUUGGCUUAAAAUCUUUGCAAGGUAAAGACAUAUUGGAGAUGCUCCAGGUUAUUAAGGUGCAUGAUAUAGUGUAGAUUUAUGUUAAACAUGGUGCAGAGGCUGCCGAGAUUGCAGAGGAGGAAGUGCCUCUAUUUCUAUCAUCUCAGUUGAGCACACAAAAAUGUAGAUUGUAUGGAGAGUUAACUUAGAAGGAGACUGAUCGUUUAUGUGAGACAGUUGUUGUCAUUGUAAAGGAGAGAAGCUACGUUAACUCUUUAAGAGUGCAUCCCAAGCAGGUCAGGCUAAGAGUGUAUCACAAGCAAAUCCUAAGGAUGACAAUCAGACAUCACAAGCAGAUCCUGAACCUGACAGGGUUGAAAUGUCUGUUGAGAGGCAAGCUUUUGGGUUACCAAUGAAGUUGGAACAACUAGGCAAAGGAAGGGGAAGAAAUCUAUCAAGUGAAAGAUGGAAAGCAAGAGGAAGAGAGCUUCUGAAAAAGUUUCUGACAAGGAGAAGGCAUUUGCUGAUUAGGGAGAUGUCUCUAGUGGUAGUGAUAGUGGCAGUGAGAGACUCUUCUAUUUUCCUUAGUGAUUUGAAACAUUCGAUGAUGAUCUACUGGAGCAGAAUGUGGACGAGUCUGUGAUAGAGGAGGACAUGAGUAGAUGGUGUGAACAAUCUAGACUUAGUGUUAAAUCAUUUGAAGUGCUUUUUUUAGCCCUGUAGCACUGUGACCUCGAGGCAAAGACCUUUACAUCCCUUUUGACGUUGUCAUUGAAACUUUUUAAGCCCCACUUACUGUUAGACCUGACAUCCUCUAGAAACCUUUGAGCUAAGUAUGUAGAGAUCACAUUGUGGUUCUGGAACUGCUUCCAUAGAUGUGCUUGGGGUUGAAGGUCUUUAUCUAAAAUGUUUCCUCCCUCUGCAUGGGAGAUGCAUGUAUCCUCCACCCACAACUCUGCUUGUGAAUAGUUGUAACCCACCACCUGUCAUUCUUCUUGUAGGUGAAGUCAAAGCCCUCUUGAAUAGCAUAGGUCUUGAGACUUUCCUAGACAUAUUAGGAGUGUUGAACUUCUUCCUAACUUCAAGCAUUAUAAGAUCCUUCAAGUCAGCACUUUAUUGAACUCAGAGUACCUUGGCCUGAUAGAGCCAUCUAUGUUAGACUCAUUGUUAUCUUGAAGGCUUCUGAGCUCACCACUGCUACCAUCAGACUCUAGCUCCUUGCCCUGAAUCCUAUGGUCCCCAGCAAUGUCCUCUUCACUAGUCAGUCUAGAUUGUUCAGGCUAUCGCUUUGUCUCCUCUGUUACAGACCUGUUCACAUUCUGCUCAAACAGAUCAUCACUAAUGUCAUCAUCAGAUUUUCACAAGUCACUAAGAACAACAGAAGAGUCACUAUCACUAUCGUUGGAGGCUUCUUCCUUAUCAGCAAGUGCCUUCCUUUUUCAGAAGCUCCUUCAGAAGCUCUCUUCCUCUUGCGUUCCCUCUUUGGCCUGGUAGGUUUCUUCCCUUUUAUUUGCCUAGUUGUUCUAGCUUCAUGGGUAGGUGUAGUAGCUUGCCUUUCAGCAGACAUUUCAACUUCUCAAAACUGCGGGGGUCGCCAACCAAGCCACCUGCGUGCAGACACGGUGGUGGUCUUUGUUAGGUACGCAACUGCGACGGUCGGCUCCAUACUUAUAGAAAUAUAGAAUGGGGAAUCUUUUCUCUUCGAUAAUUUAUUUCCGUUGGAUCAGGUGAGGGGAUGGUUUCCCCUCCCCCGAACCCCCUCCCCUUCCUUAGGUUAUGGAACGUUACCCCCCCAAAGCCCCCCUCGGGGGGGAAUAGGAUAUUUAUUUUUACCGAUGAUAUGCCAGGGGGUUCCACCCCCGAACCCCCCGGUGUUCUCAAACGGCGAAGCCUUUCCUACCCGGUAUUGAAUCCCAUCCCUUACCUCAGAGAUGGCAUCCAAUACCUGACUUCCAUAACCAAACCAAACACCUAACGGAAUAAACAGCCCUGACUCUUAGACCAAUUCAAGCAACCUCACCGAAUCGAAGAAAAAAGGCUCCAUUCUUCUAUAAGGAGGUGAGACUAGAGCUGAAGUGCCCUCGCCCUUUGAGAGGAUUGAGCAGAUAACAUUAAGUAAGUGUUAAGUCGGGUCCUGGGAGGGGCUCUAUGAUUGUAUACCUCACCAAUUGAACAAUAAGAAAAUUCAGGGUCUGCUUGUGAAGCCUGGCUGCCACUCUUAGGGUCCGCUUAUGACGCACUCUUGGCCUGGUCUGCUUAUGAUGCACUCUUGGCCUAGUUUGCUUGUGAUGCACUUUUGGCUUAGCUCUUCUCAAUAGUGGCAUAUCUCAAAUAAACGAUCAACUUUCUCUUGAGCGAGCUCUUCAUAUAAACUUCCUUCUUGUGUGCUCGACUGACAUGAUAUGAGUAGAGACAUUUCCUCCUCUGCAACCUCAGUGGCCUUUACACAAUGUUCAAUAUAUAUCUGAAUUGUAUCAUGCCUAAUUGAUGAUCUUGAGCAUCUCAGUACAUCUUUAUCACCUUGCAAAGGUUUUAAACCAAGCUCAAAGAGCUGCCCACGGACUAGGUAGUAGAAUUGUGUGUAGUUAUUAUAAUCCAGCUGCUUGGCCAUUUUCUCUAUUUCGAUGAGAAGCUUAUCCAGUGAUUACAGUUGUCAAAGUGAUUGGCAAGACUCCACUAUAGUGCACAUGAGGUGUGAACUUUAUUGAAGCAUCAUGGUGUAGUAAUUGAUCCAUUCAUGCAUGUAGUGACAAAGCAACCACCAUGCACAAGAUCCAAUACAAUGCAUUGCAGAAACCCUAUAAAUUUCAUACAGGGGGACCAUGAUAUCUUUCUCAUUAAGUAAAGAAACACAUUAGAAAAUAAAACUUAUUUAAUUUAAACACAAGGGGGACCGCAACAUCUACUUAAAGAAGCUAGCAUUGCAUAAAUAAUUGUAGGGCAUAGGAUGUACAUGAGGAUAUUGGUUUAAGCCAAUAGCAUCUUAAUAAAACCCAUUAAGAUAAGCCCGUUUAAUAGUCAAUGGUGCAUAUAUGCAUACAUAUUGAACACAUGGUCAAAAGCAUCCAACAUAAAGUAUGCAAUGCUUAAUGCAGACGGUAAUAAAAGGUUAAGUACAUGGACUUCAAUGCUAUUAUUAGGUAUUAGGUAUAAACAGAAAACCCAUUCAUACCUAGUAUUAGGUAUAAAAUGUGUGUUAAGGAGGGAGGAACGAUGUAUACUAUUAUAGAUCGAAGAAUCUGACUGCUCUAUACUUAAUUUUUUAGCCCAAUAUCUCCUAAAAGACCAUUACUAUAGAAGCUUCUUUUUUACUUUUGAAAUAUGUUAACAAAAAAAUAGACAAGAUUCUAAUCAGUAGAAGAUAGACAAAACCACUACAAAAAGCUUGCUUUUUUGUCUGGAAUUAUGUUUGAAAACAAUACUAGAAAUGCAUUUUCGAAUGGAAAAAAUUUAGGGGAAGAGCUUACCUAUAGAAAAGAAGAAUUUCCGACUCUUGGACUUCAACUUCCUUUAGAACCAAAGUAGGAAUGGCCAAAGGAUCAGCUGGAGUCCAUGGAUAGGGAAAGAAGGCUGGGGAUGAUAAAGCUUGGAAGGGUAAUGGCUUGAAUGGAAAAGGAUAGAGGAGGAAGGUCCGGGGUGAGAUUAGAGAGGAAAGAAAGUAAAACAUCUUUUUUUCUUAGGGCAUUUUUUUUGAACAUCCUGAUAAGAAAUUUUGUAGAAUGAUUAGGGCAAAAUUGUCUUUGCAUCCACUUUAGCCUCGUUGGCUAUGAAACUGGCUAGUCAUAGUGGAAUCCUGGCUUAUCAAGUUUUGGUUCCUGCUGCUGGUCCACAAGCCAUCCGAUCAUAGGAUCAUUCUUAUCGUCAACAAAAGCAUUAUAGAUCGAAUCCGUGUACUUCAGCUCUACUUUCUUCUGAAUGCACUUUAUCUUUAACUUCAGAUUGUAGUGAACAUAUACAAGAUCGUUGAGACUUGAGACGCUUCUGUGUUAGACGAUUUCUCUCCUUGCUGUGGAUGAGGACGAAGGUGGAUCAAUUGUGCUCAUAGCCAUUUGAGAAGACCGUCUGGAAGAGGAUCCGGAUAGCUAGCCGCUUAAGAUUUUUCGCGGACAAACCAAAAUGAAUCUACCAUUUAGUUGCAAAAAUAUUGAAGAAAAUUACAGAUGAGAUAGUAUCAUAUUAGUAAUUAUCUAACAUCGGGUAAUAGUUAUCGUUGAUAUGUAAUAUAUUUGGAUUCAUACCUUUUUAACUUACGAUAGCUGUCGAGACUCCAAAGCUAUAUUAGUGCUCUCUAUAAAUAUUUUUAUUUGUGAAGAAGAACCGUAUUGUAAUAUGUUAAUCAUUAAAAUCACAAGUUAACUUGCGCAUGUCACUUAACUUACCUUUCUUAACUUUGGGCUAUGACUUCUCGAUCAUGCUCCAUCUUGUAAAUUAUAUUAUGUAGAGUGGCCAGAAGUUCGUUAUUCAUAUCGAUUCUAGAUACAAUGUACUGAAAUCUUGGGUUCAGGUAGUAAGUUGGAGAUAGAGUUUGUAAUUAUUUUAGUAAAAUUAUAUAUUAGUACAAGGGUAGUCUAAUUUUUAAUGUUCUUGCUUACCUGCUAGGUGCAAGUUUCUACUCAUCUGGUUGUCCCAUCGUUGCUCAAUGAUGUCGAUGUGCUCCUAGGCAUGCAUUGAAUUUGCCUUCCUGAUCUGAUUUUUUGCCCUCUCUUAUAUAAGAAGCCUAUGUAGGGGUACCUCUUGCUGUCUACGGCCCGAAGCACUUCGUACAAUGGCUUGAUAGCCUUCACUAUCUUCUUGGCCUGCUACCAUAAUGUCUGCCUCGUCACCAAGUCCUCCAUAAUGCAUCUUUCAGUGUCAACCCUCGCAAAUAUGCUUUAUUGCUUCCUUUCUUCUCAAGGAGGCUAUCAAGUGCAACGUAGUGCAAACCGUGUUGCACCUGGUCUCAAGAUCUCUUCCUUUGUAUACCUCCUCAUUAGCGACAGGACCCAUACAUGGUUAUAAAUAUAUCUGGUGAUGGUUUGGGAUGUCUCCACAUUCUGAUGCAUCCUAUAAAUCUUCUCAAUGCGUAUCAACAUCAGGUCGAUACAAUGUGUAGUAUAUGAGAUCUAAAAAAUGUGGCUGUCACUCCAAUAUCUUUCCAGUGGCCUAAUAUUGUGGUCCAUUAUCAGUGAUAACCUGCAUGACAUUUUUUUCUCCUACCUGAUCAAUCACCUCCUCCAUCAGUCUGAGGAUAUGGCAUCAUGACUUGAUUGGGAGUAUCAAUCGACUUUUGGAAGAAAGUCUUCGUAUUAUAGUAUUGCAAGAAGAUGCUCUGCUUAGCUAGAUUGGUUUAACCAUCACACAUCACCAUUAGUCCAUAUGUGGGCCACUUGUUCUGUAUAUUGUUGUCAAGCAGUUCACUAUAGAUGUCCUUCGGUCUUGGAGUAUCUAUACCGAGACCGGCAUCCUGUAUGGAGAAAAUGACGGAUCUAUAGUACAUGUUAUCUGCUGCAUUCGCUGGAAUAUGGUUGAAGUGGAAUUAGGAUCCAAUAGCUUGCUACAUAUCCUUUUAUCCUUCUUUAGCAUGGUGUCAAUCCUCUGCUGUUUCAAAUCCUUACUUGAGAAGGCAUGUGGAUCUAAAUCAUAGAUGGUGGCUCUUGGUGGCUCUUGGACAGAUGCAAUACGACCACCACCUUUACUAAUGGCCUUUUUAACUGAGAAGAUCUUUCUGAAUUCUGGAUUGCCCUGCUGGUUGUAGAACUAGAGCUCGAUUCAUAGUGUGAAAGCCCAAAUUGAGCCUUAUGCCUGGGUACCUCAUCCUGCAACUACUAAUCAUCCAAGCUCGCCUGAAUGGCGACCUGGAUCUGUGCUUCCUCGUCAUCUGCAGUGGACACCUCUGAUUUUCUGAAGUGAUAUGAAGGUGACUCUGUCACUUGGCGGUCCACCUCCGUUUUUUUCUUUGCAACCCUCUUCUUCGCUGCUCUGAGAAAGUAUUUUGUCAUCAGCUGCGGGACCUCUUGUAGGUAUUUCGAGCACAUAGUUACCUCGGAAUAAUCACUAGCCAGGUGUUGCUUCAAUCUGGUUAUCCCUUCUCCUUUGAACUUUAUGUUGCAUUAGUUGCAUUUUUAGUUGUGUCGACCCGAGAGCAUUUGCCUAUGAUCCCAACCAAUGUACACUCUAGGUCUUUUUUUUCGAUAGUUUCAUUCUUGUAGAUUUAUCAAGUACAUCGAUUUUCUAAUUAUUUAAAAAUAAUAAAUUUUUGUUAAGAGGAAAAAUUAUAUUUUUUACUUCAAAAAAAAUACAUAGUACUAAUUUUUCAUAUUUUUGGAUUAUUUAUGUAUUUUUAAUAAUUUUUAAAUUUAAAAUAUGUUUAAAUAUUAUAAAUUCAGAAGAAUAUGUUUUCUUCUUCAAAAAUUACUAAGUUAUGUAAUACGUAAUACUAAUUUUUUAUAUUUUUUAUUAAUUAUAUAUUUUUAAUUAUGCUUUAAAUUUAAAAAUAAUUUUUAAAUAUAAUACUUCAAAAAAUUAAUUUGAGCUCAAAUUUAUAUAGAUUUCUACCAUGGAUAGUGCAUAUAUUUUUCUAAGCUUGUGGAUAUGCAUCAAAGGCUAUUUAUUUCUCAAUUUUUUAAAAAUUUAGACCUAGGUCAUUAUAUGUAUAAUCGCAUCAAAAUUUGAAUAAGUGGAUACCAAAUUUAGCUUAAGAGUAGCUUGCAUGCCCCUAAAUAAGCUUUCAAUUCUACAAUUAUUUUUUAGAUUUUAGUUUUUUAAUUUUGAAUCAAAAAACAUAUUUUUUAAUUUUAAAAUUAUAUAUUUAAUAAAAAUUAAAAAUUUUAAUGCGAUUGUGUAGAUUAUCCAUAGAUCUACUACAUAUCAUGAAAUCAUGCCAAAAUCACCUUCCCUUAUUUUAGAAAUUUCUCGGCAUUUUUUGGUGUUGAAAAGAAGAAGGAAAUGAGGUAGGAGAGGAAAAACAUACCUUGUUUUGGGUUGGAUCCUUCUUGAAUCAUCGAAAUCAAUGCAUUUUUUUGGUUGGGAGGGAGAUUUGAAAAAACUAUGAAGGAAGCUUUCUUAGACCUUCCCACUACUUAAAAGAAAGGGGGAGGGGGGACCCAUUCGAACCGGUGCGAACCAUCCGGUUUGCACUAGUUUUGCUCCGAACCGCCUGGUUUGGACCGGUUCAUAGCGGUUCAGGGCUGAAUUCCGAAUUUCAUAGCUGAACCAAUCAGGUCCUACACCAGUUUGACUCGGUACGGUCUGAACUAGGCGAUUCGGAUUGGUUCAGCAGACCAUGGUUUAAGAUGUUAGAUAUUUUUUAUUCCAAAAUUUAUAUUCUAGGAAAAAUUUUGGAGAUUAAUUAUUUGGUAGUCAAAAAUUCUAGUUUACUUGUAGAACAAGUUAUAGAGAGUUAUAAAAACUUGCUUUUGGAAAUUGUUGAAUGGAUGAGAGAUUUUUGUUAGGGAGGUUUGAUGCAUUAGUCGCUCUUUCUCUUCUCUCUUUUUCCCAUUGUCUCUUCUCUUAAUCCAAUACUAGUUCUUUGAUUUUCUUCUUUAACUUUCCCCUAGAUUAUUUAUUUCUGUUAUAAAAAAACUAAUCUGCAUGUACUAGUUAUUGAAAUUUGCUUAUAGGUCAAGUAUAGUCCCUUGUCUAGCUCAAAAUCAUUAGAAUAUUGUUCCUCUUUUCCUUCCCCAUCACAAAAUCCCAGGGUAAGUUCUUUGAUUUUUUUUCUUCUGAAUGAUAAGAGCCAAAAAGUUUCCUCCCGCUUUAUUUUUGAAAGUUGGACUAUGAGAAAAUCUUUGAUCUUAAACCAAGAGUAAGCUCAUUAGUAGGACCUACCAAGUUUGGGCUAUCCUUAAUUGGUCCUACAUCACACUUCCAUGUACACUUGAAUAAUACUCAAGCAUUGGAUAUCCUAUAGUAUGGUAUUUGUGGUAUAACUCGAUAUUAUAUCUUUUUUUCUGCUGCUUUUAAAGUUGAAGUUUGACAUAAGCCCCAGCCGCCCCCAUCAUUUUAUUGUUAACUAAGAAGGAAAACAUACAAAAGAGCAUGGUAGAGCUAGGACUUUUCCUGAGGGGCUAAAGCAUGAUAAAGUAGCAUGAAAAAUCAUCCUUAGUGGAGUAACAUUAGGGGGCACCCCUUCCAUGCACAUGAAAAGUUGUCCUGCAAUGUGGUGCAACAAGAUUAGUGUAACUACUAACUUGUGGGAAUUGGUGUGAUAUAAUGAAGGCGGUUAAUUUUUUGAAUUUCAAGGUCAGCAUUAGUAGUCUCGACUAACUUUUCCUUGCACUUAAUGUGUGCCUCAAAUCAUUUCAAUUUUUGAGAGAAUUUAUGCAUACCAACUGCUAAUUAAUUAGGGUUCAUGUGCAGAUGCUAAUGAAAAGUGCAAUCAGGAUAUGGCAACUCCAUUCUCCCAACAAUUGAUUCUUCUUUUCCUCAGGAUUUCUUCAUUUAUAGCUUGGGGAUUGGAGUAUACAGUAGGAUAUAAAGGACAGAUUGGGAGUUUGCAGUAGUAUAUAAAGGGUAGAUACAUGAUUAAGUUCAAAGUGGUGGAAUACACUUUAUGUAAGAGUACAGUGGCAGGUAUGAAAUCCUAACUCAAAUAUGGUGUUGAAGCAUGUAGCAUGAAGAAAAUUGCAGUCACUGUAAUUAACCUUAUUUUGAGGAAGAUGAAGGGACCUCAUCUAGACUUCAUUCAACAAGCAAUUAGUUAGGGGAAAAAAGAGCUUCAUAUAUGGUAGAAUAGCAUAAAAAAUCAUUAGCACGUAGCAGGACAUUUAGCAAACACCCAAACACAA